UACGUAGGGUGCGAGCGUUAAUCGGAAUUACUGGGCGUAAAGCGUGCGCAGGCGGUUCGUUAAGACAGAUGUGAAAUCCCCGGGCUUAACCUGGGAACUGCAUUUGUGACUGGCGAGCUAGAGUAUGGCAGAGGGGGGUAGAAUUCCUGGUGUAGCAGUGAAAUGCGUAGAUAUCAGGAGGAAUACCGAUGGCGAAGGCAGCCCCCUGGGUCGAUACUGACGCUCAUGCACGAAAGCGUGGGGAG
rnacentral:rRNA from 1 species